rnacentral:rRNA from 1 species
AACGAACGCUGGCGGCAGGCUUAACACAUGCAAGUCGAGCGCACCGCAAGGUGAGCGGCAGACGGGUGAGUAACGCGUGGGAAUCUACCCAGUUCUGCGGAAUAACACAGGGAAACUUGUGCUAAUACCGCAUACGCCCUCCGGGGGAAAGAUUUAUCGGAAUUGGAUGAGCCCGCGUUAGAUUAGCUAGUUGGUGGGGUAAAGGCCUACCAAGGCGACGAUCUAUAGCUGGUCUGAGAGGAUGAUCAGCCACACUGGGACUGAGACACGGCCCAGACUCCUACGGGAGGCAGCAGUGGGGAAUAUUGGACAAUGGGCGAAAGCCUGAUCCAGCCAUGCCGCGUGAGUGAUGAAGGCCUUAGGGUUGUAAAGCUCUUUCAGUGGGGAUGAUAAUGACAGUACCCACAGAAGAAGCCCCGGCUAACUUCGUG